AACGAACGCUGGCGGCAUGCCUAACACAUGCAAGUCGAACGAGACCUUCGGGUCUAGUGGCGCACGGGUGCGUAACGCGUGGGAACCUGCCCUUAGGUUCGGAAUAACUCCCCGAAAGGGGUGCUAAUACCGGAUAAUGUCUUCGGACCAAAGAUUUAUCGCCUUUGUGUGGGCCCGCGUUGGAUUAGCUAGUUGGUAGGGUAAAAGCCUACCACGGCGACGAUCCAUAGCUGGUCUGAGAGGAUGAUCAGCCACACUGGGACUGAGACACGGCCCAGACUCCUACGGGAGGCAGCAGUGGGGAAUAUUGGACAAUGGGCGAAAGCCUGAUCCAGCAAUGCCGCGUGAGUGAUGAAGGCCUUAGGGUUGUAAAGCUCUUUUACCCGGGAUGAUAAUGACAGUACCGGGAGAAUAAGCUCCGGCUAACUCCGUG
rnacentral:rRNA from 1 species